rnacentral:pre_miRNA from 1 species
GUUUUUGAGAGGUUGAAGCUGCCAGCAUGAUCUGGUAAGAACAAAAUCCAUUUUUUUUCCUUUAUAUUUUCUUACAAAGUAGAAAGGAAUUAAAUUAAACUACUCCCUUUUAAUUUCUUCUUAAAAAAUCUAGAGGUCUUUGCCUCUUUUUGAGUUUGAAGUUACUUAAAUUUGUAAAAAAGAAAAUGAAGGAUUUCAAUCAGGUCAUCUAGCAGCUUCAAUCACUCACCAA